UGGCUUGUCAGCAAAGAAAAUGUGCAGGAGCAAUUCCCAGUCUGUUGAGCAGCAUCUGCUGCUUGUCUAGUAUGCUCAGUCCUGGGGCACUAGCCCCCAGAAGGUGCUGGGACAGGCAGGUUCUCCAGCUUGCCUUUAGCAAGCACAUCAAGGCACAUGAGUGGUGCCUCAUGCUGGGUCCCUGCAUAACCACAGCUGAGAGGGGUAAUGUCAGGUCCUGUGCAGAAUGGCCACCCAGGCUGUGCCAGUUUAUGGGAUGGGAAGGCAGGGUAAAAAUUUAUGGCUACAUCACUGGCUUCUGUGCUGGGGGGACUGUCCCAAUGAGGAUGUUGCUUCUUUUUGCAGCAGGCUGCUACACAGGGCCUUCCCUCUCUUUUCUGUCUCUGUAUCCUGCCUGCCCUCUUCUUCCUUGUAGCAGGUCAUCAUCUGCCACCAGCUGUGAGUCCCAUCCGUGCAGUUUUGUGUGAGAAGACCACUUUCUGUGUCAGUGGAGACCUCUUUCAGGGUCAGCCUUCUUGUAAGUUGAUCUUACAGCUCCUUGCAUUUAGCAGCACUUGGGUGUGGGUAGCUUGAUGGAAGAUGUUGAGCAGGCCAGCUGUUCAGAAGGCCAGGUGCUCAGGCACCCUGUGGUAGCCUAAGGAAGCAGUUGAGGCAUUUCUUCUCUACGCAGCAGCAGAGAUGCUGCAGUAGAUCAUUCUGCCACACAGGCAAUCCCUCAUGUCAGGCUUGAUGGGGGCUGUGGUUGUCAGGUGGUGAAUCACAACUGUCUUCAGGGCUUGAGGGGAUAGAAAAGCUUGUGCCCACGAGCAGACAGGUGCAAGACUGCAGACAGUUGGAGGUGGAAGCUGUGGUGCUGGGCACACCUGGCUCUGUGCCCAACAAAUGGAAUUGCUGCCCCAUCAUAGAUUUCUGGCUAUGCUGUGCUGCUGCUGAAGCUGGCAUCAGCCUGCUCGAUGCUCAGGAACAUGUCCAGGUCGUGGAGCUGUACCCUAAACAUCAUUUCACUGGAGAAGGCAUUAAUAAAGGUAGUGGUGAGCUUAGUCUCGAAGGAGCUGUGACAUAGCAGCACUGUCAGACAGCGGUCUUGCAACUGAGGCAGAGCAGCCUCCACACUCCUGUCACCUGGUUCUGGAACUAGUGGGUGGUUUUCUCCACAUACAGGUAGGAGCCCUCACAGAAGGUGUCCAAGAGGUUGGGCUCCUGCUUCACUCUCAACUUGUUCUGAGUGCAGUGGAGAAAACACAGCACAUGCCUUAGCAGACGCUUCCUUGUGCAGGUACACUUCAGGUGCAGGCAGGACUUCCUUGCUGGCAUCCCCUCCACGAUGGAAGAUGUACCUGGGGGGAGGCCUCUGUCGAUGGUUUAUGGGCUGGUUCAGCCUGGUUCCGUGACUAGCAGGGCGGAGGGAUCCACAGAUCUGCGCCUCUGGAAAGGGUAAAUGGGACCCCAAAAUAAUUAAAAACAGCAGCAACAGUCUGAGGGGAAAUAAACUAAUUUACUAAAUAUGGUAUCGGAAUGCAAGAUAACGCGCUAUUUGAAGAAUUGAAGCUAAUAAAUCAAAUAUAAUGAGAGAGUAUCUGAAAGCUGUAGGCCUUACAUUAGUGAUGAGGCGAUUUGUGAGGUUGGGACGAGCAGCAGGGAGGAGAGUAGAAGGUGAAAGGGAUGUCAGGUGACCUACCGAGGCCUUCUAUGUGUUCCUCAGGAGCAGGAGUGAUAACAGAAAGUGAACAGUCUUCUGGGGAAUGUAGUUCUUCUCUUCUGGAUAGGUGCCUGGAACUGUAGCAUUAACUCUUUAACUCCCAGUGCACUUCAUGAUGUAGAAUACCAAUAACCAAAAAUCAUAAAACCAUGACAGCCUCAGAGGUGUGAGUGGGCAGUAGAAAACAUUUUCUUCAUGGGCAUUCUGUCCUUCAUAGACCCAGGUCACCCUGAUGUCCUGCUGCAGCCAGAGCAUGAAGCUGUGGCAGGAAGCAUCCUUGGCAGGCCCAAAGAUGAUCCUCCACCAGCUCUUCCACUGCUUAGCACUUGUCAGCCAUCUGCAGUACUGGCCACUGCGUGCUCUUGUCCCAAACUCUGCCCGUAUUGCUUUUCUCAUUGGAGUCAUCGUCUGCAUCUUUGUCCUUCUUCCUUGGGGAGCUGUCCUGCUUCCUGCUCCUAACCAGCUUACGUCUCCUUUUCCUGAGGCACCAACAGAGCACAAGGAGCCCAGCAAAUCCCUAGAGCUGCCAGUGCUGCAAGGCAGCAAAGAACAGGGCUCCCUUGCCUGUCCUGCUUUGUCCCUGACUCCCCUGCUCCAUACUGUGCAGCAGCAGUGCCAAGUAAACUAUACUAAGUAAUACUAUCCUAUUGAUGUACUUUGCUCUGUACAAAUUCUUAAACUUGCUUAUCAGAUUUGUUCAUCCUGUAAGCUAUAUGCUUACUGAAAUUCAAUUACAUAAGCUACAAACUGAUACAGUGAUGCCAAUUUAAAAAUACAGAGUUACUAUCCAACUAUCAAAUGUGUAUUUUUAUAAGGUUUCAGAAUUAUGGAAUCAAAGAACAGCGCAAGCCCAGGUUGGAAGGGAUCUCAGAAGAUAAUCAUGUCCAACUUUUUUUUGAGAGAAGGGAACUUUGAGAUAACGUAGUGCUCUGUUCAGCUACAUCUUGAAAACCUAUUGUUGCAGGCUUUCAAGAUGAGAUUGCGCAGUGUGCUAGAGAACAAUGUCCUUACAGAGGUUGUUAUUUAUCGAACAUCUUAUCUUUUCAGCUUGAUGUUUUUGGCAAUGUUUAGUGGGGAUUAGACACGAUUUUACUGACAAAUUUUACCUCUCUUUGAAACAGUUCUACAAAUAGUUAAGUACUGUCAUCGCAAUUAAGUGUGACUGACCCUGCAGCUGUUCAGGCUGGGGUAGCAUGAAAAAAGUUUUCCUCUGCUUUAGCACUCUGCCCUGCUGUUCUGGCAGGUUUGGCAUUUACUGUGUCUUUCACUAGUCUGACUUAAUUCAGUAACAAAGCAGAAGAGAAGUUUAAUUUAUCUUCUAUUUGAUUACACGUUAAGUCAGUGCACGGGUGGGAGGUGGGGAAAAAAGCAGGGUGAACAGGAUUUUGCCCUCAUGGCAGCCCUGAGUGUUUGAAAUAACCCACUCUGUGUUGUGGUGGCAGAAGCAUAGGCUUAGAGUUCUGUUUCAGUCUAUUCUAAGUAACGCAUUACUUAAAAUUAAUCUGGAAUGGCUGAAUUUUGUAAUUAUUUCUGUUAGUUUUAUCUUAAAAUUGGGGUGCUGCUGACUAUAUCUGAACAUGAAUGCCUUUUAAGGAAAAUAUUGCAAGCAGGUUAAAUAUUCAUGGAAAACACUCUUGCUUAUGUUUGCACUGUUAGUCAGAAAGGCUUUUUUAUGUUUAUAUACCUUAUGUGAGUUUUAGUGCUUCAACCAAAUGUUGACAUUUGGUCGAACUCUUUAACGAUAAAUGAAGUUAUCCAUUUGGUUAUUCUUCAUGAUCAGUGUUUUUAAACUACUUGUAGUGAAACUGGAACACAACAUAUACAACAAACCAGGUAUCUUAGAUGAACCUUAUUCUUAUUGAUGAGAAUUUGUUAUAGCACUUGAGAAAUGAAUUCUGGAGUUUGUCGUGCAGAUAAUUAUGUAUGCUUAGGAAUGGUUGGUGGUAAACUUAAGACGAGUGUCUUUUUGUAAACAAACCAGAGAGGAAGCCUUGAGUGUGAAAACCCUUGGAAGACUCCCAGUUGUCUUAUUUUUGAAAGAGAUUUCAAAACUUGUAAAUUAAUUUUUUCUAAUGCUCCUACAGCAACGUUACAUGCUAUACAUAGCAUUUCAGCAGAGCUGUCUUCUAAUACUUGUGUAAAAAACAAAUUAUGGAAUUUGUAAAUAAUGUAUAAUUUGUAAAAUGUUUGCAGAAAUUGUACUUGAAAGGACAGUAUUUUUAUGUAUAAAUAGCACAGCAACAACUGUGAAUGAUGUUAUAACAGUUAUUUUUAAACAUGCGUAGCAAUGUUCAUACUUGUGUACAAUAAGCAAUAUGAAUGCCUGUUACUGAUGCCAAUGAACUUGGUUUCCAGUGAGCACAACUGGUAAAGCUUAUUUUUAAAGUAGAUGCAUUAAUUUAGACGUACUUCUGUCUCCUUGCUUUGCUUGAAACAAUCUUACCAGACAACUUUUUACAUGACCCAUGUUUACCAGGUAUUUAAUUAUAAUAGUAAACAGCUAAUUAAGGCACCUUUGUUUUUAUAUUUGACUCUGCACUCCAUGUAUGUAUGUAAUAUUUGCUAACAAAUAAGUGAUAACUUGUCCUGACUUACCUAGGGUGCCUAUUUAUUUUUUUAUAAAUGUCCCCUUCUGGCUAUAGAUUUGUAUAAGAGCCUAGACAUAUUUUUAACAGUAAAUACAUAAAUAAGUCUUGUAAUUAAUAUAUUUUUCAGUCUUUAGAAUUAUUUUCUUGCAAAGUUCUGCUUGUUCAAAUUAUCAGAUAAAAAUAUAAACC
ensembl:lncRNA